rnacentral:rRNA from 1 species
AUGAAUUAUGAGUUUAAUAGAUCCUCUUUAGCAGAAAGACGUAUAUUCCUUGCUCAUUAUCAGACAAUCACUUAUUCCCAAACCUCGUGUGGGACUAAUCAUUUUCAUUUACCAUCUCAUGGAAAACCCUUUUCGUUCCGCUUAGCCCUAUCGGGUAUUUUAGUGAUAGGUUCUGUAGGAACUGGACGAUCCUAUUUGGUCAAAUACCUAACGAAAAAUUACGAUUUUCCUUUCAUUAAGGUACGAGGGCUUCUUAUUCCACAAGAACGAAAGCACCUUUUCAUUCUUUCAUAUACUAGGGGUUUUUACUUGGAAAAGACAAUGUUCCAUACUAAAGGAUUCGGGUCCAUAACCACGAGUUCCAGUGCACUAGAUCUUGUAGCACUUAGCAACGAAGCCCUAUCCAUUAGUAUUCCACAUAAGAAAUCCAUUCUA